UCUCUGGUGGUCCAGUGGCUAAGACUCUACAUUCCCAAUGUAGGGGGCCAAGGUUCAAUCCCUGGUCAGGGAA
rfam:Ovis aries breed Texel chromosome 15, whole genome shotgun sequence.